GAAGAAUCCUCAUUCACCUUACACUUGUCUCAGUUGAAAUAGAAUUUAUUCUGGACUUUUUUAAUAAAGGGGAUUUUUACAUCUCAAAGGCCUACCUUUGAAGAUGCUUUGAAGAAGAACUUCAAAGAAAAAAGUCUGUGUUGUUUUGAGAUAUGCAUGCAAAUAAAAUCAUAUUCUCCUUUUUGAAAGACCUAUGCAGUUGACAUGAGGUGACAUAGGCUUGGUCAUAAAAAUUUGAUCUUCCUACUCAGCCUUAGAUUUAUACAAGAAGGUGUAGAGGAGAUAGUCUUUACUUAUCCUAAACUUGAUCAUUUGGGAGACAGUUCCAGCAGUGGUAUGUGGUAACCUCAUAACUCUAGUGCCAGUUAUUCUGGGAGUUUACGUAACCCCUAGAUUGUUCAGAAGAAAGGAUUCAUAAUAUUUGGUUCCAAGGUUGCACACACAGUGGUUUUUGACUAAACAUUGUCAGAUGUUCACAUUCCAGUUCCAUUCAUCUUGUGCUUUAACCUGUCCACCUCAGAAGACUCUGAAGUUUUCCUAGCUAUGUCUCCUGAGCAAAGGAAAUCUAUCCUCCUUUCUGAACACUGC
ensembl:lncRNA